UACGGAAGGCAGCAGUGGGGAAUAUUGCACAAUGGGCGCAAGCCUGAUGCAGCCAUGCCGCGUGUAUGAAGAAGGCCUUCGGGUUGUAAAGUACUUUCAGUCGUGAGGAAGGUGUUAAGGUUAAUAACCUUAGCAAUUGACGUUAGCGACAGAAGAAGCACCGGCUAACUCCGUGCCAGCAGCCGCGGUAAUACGGAGGGUGCGAGCGUUAAUCGGAAUUACUGGGCGUAAAGGGCACGCAGGCGGUUAAUUAAGUUGGAUGUGAAAUCCCCGGGCUUAACCUGGGAAUGGCAUUCAAGACUGGUUAGCUAGAGUCUUGUAGAGGGGGUAGAAUUCCAUGUGUAGCGGUGAAAUGCGUAGAGAUGUGGAGGAAUACCGGUGGCGAAGGCGGCCCCUGGACAAAGACUGACGCUCAUGUGCGAAAGCGUGGGGAGCAAAACAGGGAUUUAGAUACC
rnacentral:rRNA from 1 species